UGUGAGUGUAAGCAAAUCUCAAAAAUAAACGUCUCAGUUCGGAUUGUAGUCUGCAACCCGACUACAUGAAGCUGGAAUCGCUAGUAAUGGCAGGUCAGCAUACUGCCGUGAAUACGUUCCCGGGCCUUGUACACACCGCCCGUCACACCAUGAGAGUUGGGAAUACCCGAAGCCUGUGAGCUAACUUUUAGAGGCAGCAGUCGAAGGUAGAAUCAAUGAUUGGGGUGAAGUCGUAACAAGGUAUC
rnacentral:rRNA from 1 species